rnacentral:rRNA from 1 species
UACGGAGGGGGCUAGCGUUGUUCGGAAUUACUGGGCGUAAAGCGCACGUAGGCGGCUUUGUAAGUUAGAGGUGAAAGCCCGGAGCUCAAUUCCGGAACUGCCUUUAAGACUGCAUCGCUUGAACGUCGGAGAGGUAAGUGGAAUUCCGAGUGUAGAGGUGAAAUUCGUAGAUAUUCGGAAGAACACCAGUGGCGAAGGCGACUUACUGGACGACUGUUGACGCUGAGGUGCGAAAGCGUGGGGAGCAAACAGG